GAUGAACGCUGGCGGCGUGCCUAAUACAUGCAAGUCGAGCGAAUGGAUUAAGAGCUUGCUCUUAUGAAGUUAGCGGCGGACGGGUGAGUAACACGUGGGUAACCUGCCCAUAAGACUGGGAUAACUCCGGGAAACCGGGGCUAAUACCGGAUAACAUUUUGAACCGCAUGGUUCGAAAUUGAAAGGCGGCUUCGGCUGUCACUUAUGGAUGGACCCGCGUCGCAUUAGCUAGUUGGUGAGGGAACGGCUCACCAAGGCAACGAUGCGUAGCCGACCUGAGAGGGUGAUCGGCCACACUGGGACUGAGACACGGCCCAGACUCCUACGGGAGGCAGCAGUAGGGAAUCUUCCGCAAUGGACGAAGGUCUGACGGAGCAACGCCGCGUGAGUGAUGAAGGCUUUCGGGUCGUAAAACUCUGUUGUUAGGGAAGAACAAGUGCUAGUUGAGUAAGCUGGCACCUUGACGGUACCUAACCAGAAAGCCACGGCUAACUACGUGCCAGCCGCCGCCGUAA
rnacentral:rRNA from 1 species